rnacentral:rRNA from 1 species
GGAUCCAGACUUUGAUCAUGGCUCAGGAUGAACGCUGGCGGCGCACUUAAGACAUGCAAGUCGAACGGACUUAACCGAAAUAUUUAUAUUUUGGAGCGGUUAGUGGCGGACUGGUGAGUAACGCGUAAGCAAUCUGCCUAUUAGAGGGGAAUAACAGUGAGAAAUCACUGCUAAUACCGCAUAUGCCAUGAACAUCGCAUGAUGAAAAUGGGAAAGGAGUAAUCCGCUAAUAGAUGAGCUUGCGUCUGAUUAACUAGUUGGUGUGGUAAUGGCAUACCAAGGUAACGAUCAGUAGCCGGACUGAGAGGUUGAACGGCCACAUUGGGACUGAGAUACGGCCCAGACUCCUACGGGAGGCAGCAGUCGGGAAUAUUGCGCAAUGGAGGAAACUCUGACGCAGUGACGCCGCGUAUAGGAUGAAGGUUUUCGGAUUGUAAACUAUUGUCAUUAGGGAAGAUAAAAGACAGUACCUAAGGAGGAAGCUCCGGCUAACUACGUGCCAGCAGCCGCGGUAAUACGUAGGGAGCAAGCGUUAUCCGGAUUUAUUGGGUGUAAAGGGUGCGUAGACGGGAGAUUAAGUUAGUUGUGAAAGCCCUCGGCUUAACUGAGAAAUUGCAACUAAAACUGGUUUUCUUGAGUGCAGGAGAGGUAAGUGGAAUUCCUAGUGUAGCGGUGAAAUGCGUAGAUAUUAGGAGGAACACCAGUGGCGAAGGCGACUUACUGGACUGUAACUGACGUUGAGGCACGAAAGUGUGGGGAGCAAACAGGAUUAGAUACCCUGGUAGUCC